UACACUCCUGCGGGAGGCAGCAGUGGGGAAUAUUGGACAAUGGGCGCAAGCCUGAUCCAGCCAUGCCGCGUGAGUGAUGAAGGCCCUAGGGUUGUAAAGCUCUUUCACCGGUGAAGAUAAUGACGGUAACCGGAGAAGAAGCCCCGGCUAACUUCGUGCCAGCAGCCGCGGUAAUACGAAGGGGGCUAGCGUUGUUCGGAUUUACUGGGCGUAAAGCGCACGUAGGCGGACUAUUAAGUCAGGGGUGAAAUCCCGGGGCUCAACCCCGGAACUGCCUUUGAUACUGGUAGUCUUGAGUUCGAGAGAGGUGAGUGGAAUUCCGAGUGCAGAGGUGAAAUUCGUAGAUAUUCGGAGGAACACCAGUGGCGAAGGCGGCUCACUGGCUCGAUACUGACGCUGGUGCGAAAGCGUGGGGAGCAAACAGGAUUAGAUACCCCUGUAGUCCC
rnacentral:rRNA from 1 species